rnacentral:rRNA from 1 species
CACGUAGUUAGCCGAGGCUUAUUCUGCGGGUACAGUCACUUUCUUCGUCCCCGCUUAAAGAGCUUUACAAUCCGAAGACCUUCAUCGCUCACGCGGCGUUGCUGGGUCAGAGUUGCCUCCAUUGCCCAAUAUUCCCCACUGCUGCCUCCCGUAGGAGUUUGGACCGUGUCUCAGUUCCAAUGUGGCCGAUCACCCUCUAAGGUCGGCUACCCAUCGUAGGUUUGGUGGGCCGUUACCUCACCAACUGCCUAAUGGGACGCGAGCUCAUCCAUAUCCGAUAAAUCUUUCACCUCAAAAAGAUGCCUUUUCGUGGUCAUAUGCGGUAUUAGCAGUCAUUUCUAACUGUUAUCCCCCUGAUAUGGGCAGAUUGCUCACGCGUUACUCACCCGUCCGCCACUAAUGCAAGGAGCAAGCCCCUUGCAUCCGUUCGACUUGCAUGUGUUAAGCACGCCGCCAGCGUUCAUCCUGAGCCAGGAUCAAACUCU